CCCUUAGAUGUUCUGGGCCGCACGCGCGCUACACUGACGAAUGCAACGAGCUUAUAACCUUGGCCGAAAGGUCUGGGUAAUCUCCAAAUUUCGUCGUGAUGGGGAUAGAUUAUUGCAAUUAUUAAUCUUGAACGAGGAAUUCCUAGUAAACGCAGAUCAUCAAUCUGCAUUGAUUACGUCCCUGCCCUUUGUACACACCGCCCGUCGCACCUACCGAUUGGAUGGUCCGGUGAAGCCUCGGGAUUGUGGUUCUUGCCGCUUUAUUGUGGCGUGACCGCGAGAACUUGUCUAAACCUUAUCAUCUAGAGGAAGGUGAAGUCGUAACA
rnacentral:rRNA from 1 species